CUCGUGUCUUUUUUCUAGUCCCAAGGACAUUUUCGAUCCUUCUCGGACUGCGACUGUCAGGCUGGGUCACAGACCUAGGCUCCAGUGCCACUUAGAAGAACUUGUGGAUGUGAGUGAGCCCAAGUGAAGGGAGCUACUAUCCUGUUAAGAAUGCUGAUUUGAAAUCAAUGAGGACCACCUCAAAUUCUGAUCUUCAAACAAAGUGAUGGCCUCUCUCUUGAGGCCCAAAAUCUUGGCUCCACGUGAAGAUGACUUAGUCCUCAGAGUUGAUAUCCCUAGGGGGCAAGAUGUGAUCCAAGAAAAAUCAGAUCUUGAAGUUGCUCGCCAGAGUUUUAGGUGGUAUCAAUACCCAGAAGUUGCUGGGCCCCAAGAAGCCCUCAUCCAACUCUGGGAACUCUGUUGUAAAUGGCUAAGGCCAGAGGUUCAUACAAAGGAACAGAUUCUGGAACUGCUGGUGCUAGAGCAAUUUCUAACCAUCCUGCCUGGGGAUAUCAGGAUUUGGGUCAAAUCCCAACAUCCUACAAAUAGCAAAGAGGUAGUAAGCUUGGUGGAGGACUUGACUCAAACAACUGAGGAGAGAGGUGAGAAUUACAGAAAAUUGAUGGGAUGGGAAGUAAGAAGGUAAAACUCACACCUGAAGUAAGAGAUCCAUGGAGUUAAUAGGGAAAAAAUUUCCUGGAAAUUUAGAACUCUGAUAUGGGACCUGUGGGUCACAUCAAGCCCAUUGUCUCUUUGAAGCUCCACUGUGGGCAGGAGUAUGUAUUACAUAAAUAAGAACAUUUUUAAUUGAGA